rfam:Sarcophilus harrisii ctg7180002440867, whole genome shotgun sequence.
UAGGAUGUGGUGUAAUGGGAGCACAAAGGGUUUUGAGUUCUUUGAUAUAGGUUUGAGUCCUGUUGUCCUAG